rnacentral:rRNA from 1 species
GAUGAACGCUGGCGGCGUGCCUAAUACAUGCAAGUCGAGCGAACGGACGAGAAGCUUGCUUCUCUGAUGUUAGCGGCGGACGGGUGAGUAACACGUGGAUAACCUACCUAUAAGACUGGGAUAACUUCGGGAAACCGGAGCUAAUACCGGAUAAUAUUUUGAACCUCAUUGUUCAAAAGUGAAAGACGGUCUUGCUGUCACUUAUAGAUGGAUCCGCGCUGCAUUAGCUAGUUGGUAAGGUAACGGCUUACCAAGGCAACGAUGCAUAGCCGACCUGAGAGGGUGAUCGGCCACACUGGAACUGAGACACGGUCCAGCCCCCUACGGGAGGAAGCAGUAGGGAAUCUUCGGAAAUGGGCGAAAGCCUGACGGAGAAACGCCGCGUGAGCGAUGAAGGUCUUCGGAUCGUAAAACUCUGUUAUUAGGGAAGAACAUAUGUGUAAGUAACUGUGCACAUCUUGACGGUACCUAAUCAGAAAGCCACGGCUAACUACGUG